GGACCAAAGCACCAUUUCCGUUUAAUUCUGCCAUGGACGGUCCCAAGCCCCGUGGGAAACGAGGAGGGUUGGCCAUGGGGGCUAGCAGCCCCACCCCGUAAAAACCCAGAGAGGAAGAAUACACUGCCUUAGGAUAAAGGGACGUUCAUUUGGAACAGAGGAGAGGAGGAAUUUCUUUAGCCAGAGGGUGGUGAAUCUGAGGAAUUUGUUGCCACAGGUGGCUGUGGAGGCCAAGUCAUUGGGUAUAUUUAAGGCUAUCGAUUCUCGAUAGCCAGGGCAUGGAAGGUUACGGGGAGAGGGCAGGAGAUUGGGGUUGAGAGGGAAAUGGUGGAACAGUCUCGAUGGGCCAAAUGGCCUAAUUCUGCUCCAGUAUCUUAAGGUCUUAAUAACUUAUCAGUGCUCUGCAUGCAUGUACAACAGAGGUCAGUACAGCAUUGAUGCAGGCAGAAUGUCUCAUAAUGCCAAUCUAAGUUAAUCUCAUCUGCCUGCACGUGGUACAGGUGCCUGCACUUGCUGUCUGUCUCACCACUGACCCUGCUCCUGUCAGCACCCCAGGCACCCACCACUCAGUGGAAUAAAAGUUUGUUCUGGAAGUUUCCUUUAAACCUCCUCCCUACCCUAAAUCCAUACACCAAGACCACAGGAUACGGGAGCAGAAUUAGACCAUUCGGCCCAUUACUUCUGCUCCACCGUUCCACCAUGGCUGACUUAUUAGCCCUCUCAACUCCAUUCUCCCUGUAUCCUUUGACCUGCCCUGCUAAUUAAGAACUUGGCAAUGAAUUCCACAGAUUCAUCACCCUCUGGCCAAAGAAAUUCCUUCUCAUCUCCAUUGUAAUCGGACGUCCCUCUACUCCAGGUGCCUGGCAUAAAAAAGAGGGUUGGGGACCCCUACUCUAUUCUGAGUCUGUGCCCUCUGGUCACAGACUCCCCCACUAUAGGAAACAUCCUCUCCACAUCCACUCUAUCUGUGUCCUCUGGUCCUAGACUACCCCACACUAUAGGAAACAUCCUCUCCACAUCCACUCUAUCUGUGUCCUCUGGUCCUAGACUCACCCACUAUAGGAAACAUCCUCUCCACAUCCACUCUAUCUGUGUCCUCUGGUCCUAGACUCCCCCACUAUAGGAAACAUCCUCUCCACAUCCACUCUAUCUGUGUCCUCUGGUCCUAGACUCCAUCACUGUAGGAAACAUCUUCUCCACAUCCACUCUAUCUGUGUCCUAUGGUCCUAAACUUCCCCACUAUAGGAAACAUCCUCUCUACGUCCACUCUAUCUGUGUCCUCUGGUCCUAGACUCCCCCACUAUAGGAAACAUCCUCUCCACAUCCACUCUAUCUUUGUCCUCUGGUCCUGGAAACCCCACUGUAUGAAACAUCCUCUCCGCAUCCACUCUAUCUGUGUCCUCUGGUCCUAGACUCCCUCACUGUAGGAAACAUCCUCUCCACAUCCACUCUAUCUGUGUCCUCUGGUCCUAGACUCCACCACUAUAGGAAACAUCCUCUCCACAUCCACUCUAUCUGUGUCCUCUGGUCCUAGACUCCCCCACUAUAGGAAACAUCCUCUCCACAUCCACUCUAUCUGUGCCCUCUGGUCCUAGACUCCCCCACUAUAGGAAACAUCCUCUCUACAUCCACUCUAUCUGUGCCCUCUGGUCCUAGACUCCCCCACUAUAGGAAACAUCCUCUCCACAUCCACUCUAUCUGUGCCCUCUGGUCCUAGACUCCCCCACCAUAGGAAACAUCCUCUCCACAUCCACUCUAUCUUUGUCCUCUGGUCCUAGACUCCCCCACUAUAGGAAAUAUCCUCUCCACAUCCACUCUAUCUGUGUCCUCUGGUCCUAGACUCCCCCACCAUAGGAAACAUCCUCUCCACAUCCACUCUAUCUUUGUCCUCUGGUCCUAGACUCCCCCACUAUAGGAAAUAUCCUCUCCACAUCCACUCUAUCUGUGUCCUCUGGUCCUAGACUCCCCCACUAUGGGAAACAUCUUCUCCACAUCUACUCUAUCUGUGUCCUCUGGUCCUAGACUCCCCCACUAUGGGAAACAUCCUCUCCACAUCCACUCUAUCUGUGUCCUCUGGUCCUAGACUCCCCCACUAUAGGAAACAUCCUCUCCACAUCCACUCUAUCUGUGUCCUCUGGUCCUAGACUCCCCCACUAUAGGAAACAUCCUCUCCACAUCCACUCUAUCUGUGUCCUCUGGUCUUAGGAUCCCCCACUACAGGAAACAUUCUCUCCACAUCCACUCUAUCUGUGUCCUCUGGUCCUAGACUCCCCCACUAUAGGAAACAUCCUCUCCACAUCCACUCUAUCUGUGUCCUCUGGUCCUAGACUCCCCCACUAUAGGAAACAUCCUCUCCACAUCCACUCUAUCUGUGUCCUCUGGUCUUAGACUCGAUCACUACAGGAAGCAUCCUCUCCACAUCCACGCUUCCUAGGUCUUUCAAUGUUUGGUUCGUUUCGUUGAUAUUCCCCCUCACUCUUCUAAACUCUAGCAAAUACAGGCCCAGGGCCAUCUAAUACCCGUCCAGCCUGGAAGGAAGAGCCACACCAUCUACUCUGUCUAUACUCCUCACAAACCUCAAUCAGAUCUCCCCUGAGACUCCAACAGUCCAGAGAAAACAAUUCAAGUUUGUGUAACCUCUUCUUAUAGAUCAGACGCUCUAAUCACCUGGAACUUUUCUGAAUGCUCUCCAUAGCCUCCCCAUCCUUCCCGUAAAGAAACUACUUAGCGAUUCUAUUUAUUUGCUCACUUGUGAAAGUCUGCGAGAAAAUGACAGAUAUGGUGACAUAUACGUAACUUCGAUGAUAAAUUUAUUCUCAACUUUAUUGUCUCCAAUAUUGAAAGGCCCAGAUUGAGUUGUGGAUGGUGGGGUGGAGAUAGGUCCCUACCAGAGGAAGUGUGAAGUGCUCCUUCCCUCUGCUGUCCUGCAGGUCACCCCUGGGCAAGGUGAGGCAUCUGCUUAGCCCCACAGUCAGGAUCACGUGAAACUAUGGGAGCAGGUGGUGGAACAGCCUGUACAUAUCCUGUCCCGGCUAUGAGACCAGGCAGACAAUCUCUGAAGAGUAUUGAUAAUGGCUGGGGUCACCCAUCUUGUAAAGACACUGCCCAGAAGAAGACAAUGGCAAACCACUUCUGUUGGAAAAUUUGCCAAGGACAAUCAUGAUCACAGACAGUAAGACACGGCACAUAAUGGUGAUGAUGCUGAGAUCGAGUGGAUAUGGCGAGGAUGAUUCUUAUGCUGGUGGAGUCUAGGACCUGAGGAUAUAACCUCCGAAUAGAGGGACGUCCACUGAGAACAGACAUGAGGAGCAACUUCUUCAGCCAGAGGUUGGUGAAUCUGUGGAAUUCGUUGUCACAGACGGCUGUGGAGGCCAAAUCAUUGGGUAUAUUUAAAGUGGAGGUUGCUAGGUUCUUGAUUAGUCAGGGUGUGAAAGGUUACGGAGAGAGGGCAGGAGAAUGGGGGUGAGAGGGACCGUAAAUCAGCCACAAUGGAAUGGUGGAGCAGGCUUGAUGGGUCGAAUGGUCGCAUUCUGCUCCUACGUCAUAAGGAUUCCUAACACAAUGAUACAGUAGAUACUCUCUCUGCCUCACUACUCCAGGGACCUUGGGAUGCUGUCUGUGUGGAGUUUGCAAGUUCUCAGAGAGAGAGAGAGUGUAAGUCAAAGUGGGAAGCAGUGAGGCAGGAAGAGUGAAGCUGUGUUUGGAGAAGCAGCUGAACCUGUGCUCCUAUUCUGAUACGUCCCUCCACAGCUGAAGUUUCUGUUCAGAGGUCCCUGUGUGACUCUCUGGGGAACAGACUUUAACCUACCUCUUGUCAACCAGCUAGUUUCUUCCUCUCUUUGUUGUGCCUACAAUCUCCCAUCAAUUAAUUUUUUCUAUGUUUGUGCAGAUUUGGCAUGUCAGCUGAAACUCUGACAAAUUUCUAGCGAUGUACGGUGGACCGACUGCAUUGUGGCUGGUAUGGGAAAAUCAAUGCUCAGGAUAAGAACAGCCUUCAAAAGGUAGUGGAUACGGCCCAGUCCAUCAUAGGAAAAGUCACCCCCACCACUCAGCACAUCUACACACAGCUCAAUCAUAAGAAAGGACCCCCACCACCCAGGCCAUGCUCUCUUCUCAGUACUAUCAUCGGGCAGGAGGUAUAGAAGCCUUAGGUCCCACACCACCAGGUUCAGGAACAGUUAUUACCCCUCAACCAUCAGGAUCCUGAACCGGUGUGGAUAACUUCACUCACCACAACUCUGAACUGAGCCUAGGGUCCCACACCACCAGGUUCAGGAACAGUUAUUACCCCUCAACCAUCAGACUCCUGAACCAGUGUGGAUAACUUCACUCACCUCAACUCUGAACUGAGCCUAGGGUCCCACACCACCAGGUUCAGGAACAGUUAUUACCCCUCAACCAUCAGGCUCCUGAACCAGUGUGGAUAACUUCACUCACCUCAACUCUGAACUGAGCCUAGGGUCCCACACCAUCAGGUUCAGGAACAGUUAUUACCCCUCAACCAUCAGGAUCCUGAACCGGUGUGGAUAACUUCACUCACCUCAACUCUGAACUGAGCCUAGGGUCCCACACCACCAGGUUCAGGAACAGUUAUUACCCCUCAACCAUCAGGAUCCUGAACCGGUGUGGAUAACUUCACUCACCACAACUCUGAACUGAGCCUAGGGUCCCACACCACCAGGUUCAGGAACAGUUAUUACCCCUCAACCAUCAGGCUCCUGAACCAGUGUGGAUAACUUCACUCACCACAACUCUGAACUGAGCCUAGGGUCCCACACCACCAGGUUCAGGAACAGUUAUUACCCCUCAACCAUCAGGAUCCUGAACCGGUGUGGAUAACUUCACUCACCACAACUCUGAACUGAGCCUAGGGUCCCACACCACCAGGUUCAGGAACAGUUAUUACCCCUCAACCAUCAGGAUCCUGAACCGGUGUGGAUAACUUCACUCACCACAACUCUGAACUGAGCCUAGGGUCCCACACCACUAGGUUCAGGAACAGUUAUUACCCCUCAACCAUCAGGAUCCUGAACCGGUGUGGAUAACUUCACUCACCACAACUCUGAACUGAGCCUAGGGUCCCACACCACCAGGUUCAGGAACAGUUAUUACCCCUCAACCAUCAGGCUCCUGAACUAGUGUGGAUAACUUCACUCACCUCAACUCUGAACUGAGCCUAGGGUCCCACACCACCAGGUUCAGGAACAGUUAUUACCCUACAACCAUCAGGCUCCUGAACUAGUGUGGAUAACUUCACUAACCUCAACUCUGAACUGAGCCUAGGGUCCCACACCACCAGGUUCAGGAACAGGUAUUACCCUACAACCAUCAGGCUCCUGAACCAGUGUGGAUAACUUCACUCACCUCAACUCUGAACUGAGCCUAGGGUCCCACACCACCAGGUUCAGGAACAGUUAUCACCCCUCAACCAUCAGGCUCCUGAACCGGUGUGGAUAACUUCACUCACCUCAACUCUGAACUGAGCCUAGGGUCCCACACCACCAGGUUCAGGAACAGUUAUUACCCCUCAACCAUCAGGAUCCUGAACCGGUGUGGAUAACUUCA